rnacentral:rRNA from 1 species
CGCCAGCAGCCGCGGUAAGACGAACCACACAAACGUUAUUCGGAAUUACUGGGCUUAAAGGGUGCGUAGGCUGCGCAGAAAGUUGGGUGUGAAAUCCCUCGGCUCAACCGAGGAACUGCGCCCAAAACUACUGUGCUUGAGGAAGAUAGAGGUAAGCGGAACUUACGGUGGAGCGGUGAAAUGCGUUGAUAUCGUAAGGAACACCUGUGGCGAAAGCGGCUUACUGGGUCUUUUCUGACGCUGAUGCACGAAAGCUAGGGGAGCAAACGGGAUUAGAUACCCCGGUAGUCCUAGCCGUAAACUCUGAGUACUGAAUUGAAGGGUCCUUCAUAGCCCUUCAGUUGUAGCGAAAGUGUUAAGUACUCCGCCUGGGGAGUAUGGUCGCAAGGCUGAAACUUAAAGGAAUUGGCGGGGG